AACCCCAAAUGAGGACGUAAGCAAGAACAGGAUGUGUAAGAACUUAGAGCUAACUCAAGAGAACACAAACACAUUUUUACAGCAUUUAAGACAGUCUGACAGCCAAUUACCAUCAUCUUUUCUAUACUAAAACUACUUUGUACACAGCUUGGAGUUGGACUUUUUGAAAAGAAAGGGACUAUUUUUCCGGACCGUGAUUUCCAGCAAUAUCUCCUUGUCUGGUUUUGUCGAUGUGUUGUUUUUAACAGGCUCACCCAUGGGGCUCCUAUACUCCUGCAAGCCUUGUAGCCCGUGCUUACCGACUGAGGAGGAAUGCAGAGCAGAGGGCUACAACAGGAGACAUUGGCUGGACCGUUGUUGUGACAUGUGUUGCCAGAUGUGUGUGUAUGUGUGCGCCGGCUUGUGCAAUCUGGACUGCAGCUACACAUUUUGUAUCCACUGCCUCGGCCUGGCACAAAACUGUAUCGCAAUUUUCUCUGGACAAAAAGCAGCAACAAUAGCAGUGCCUGGGAGAGAUCCUGAGGAGUGUGUGUAGAGAAACCCAACCAUUUAAAAGCAGUGAUGUGAGACCCCUCAUCGACACAAGACUUAGAGUUGACCCAUUUUCCUCGCUGGUCACAAGAAGCCUUUGUAAUUACCGGUGAAGCGGUUUUGGACACACAGAGCAGAAGCAACUACGGGCCUCGAGCAGGGCACAUGUUGGACUAAAGUGUAUUCA